UACGGAGGGUGCGAACGUUGUCCGGAAUCACUGGGCGUAAAGGGCGCGUAGGCGGCGCGGAUAGUCGGCGGUGAAAGCCCGGAGCUCAACUCCGGGUCGGCCGUCGAUACUUCCGGGCUUGAGCACUGUAGAGGCAGAUGGAAUUCCGGGUGUAGCGGUGGAAUGCGUAGAGAUCCGGAAGAACACCGGUGGCGAAGGCGGUCUGCUGGGCAGUUGCUGACGCUGAUGCGCGACAGCGUGGGGAGCAAA
rnacentral:rRNA from 1 species